CGCUCCAUACGGUCUUAGGAGGUGGAGGGCUUGGGCUACUGUUAUUUCAUGCAAAACAGUGUUGAAGAAGUAUUGGUUAGGAGUUUUUUUUUUGGGAUGGAUUAAUUAAAUGAAGAGUUUGUAGUGGGUUUAUUGGAAUUUAUUAACUCUUGUAUAGUAUAAGCAUAGAUAUUUUUUCUUGAUACAAAUAGUUAAGUCCUAUUAGAAUCUGUUACACACAUGGAAAACAGUAAAGUCCUGCAGAAAAUACUGAUUUAGAGGAAAAGAAUGUGUAAGAACAUCUCCUCUUUGGGCUUGAUCCAGAUUCUGUUGUGUUGCAUUACAAGAGGAGGUGUUGGCAGUGACAGAUGCACUGAAGUACUACAUGCAAGAGCCAGAAGAAAUGACACAGCACACCUUGGGCAU